rnacentral:lncRNA from 1 species
GUUUCUUUGAGAGUUUGUUUCCAUCGUUGUUCGAGUACUUUUGGGUGUGGCUAAGACUUCACGUGUGAUAUCUUGCUACUGGUUGGCACGUGUAUCUCACGUCUUUGGUGAGUGUUUGUUUUGGGUUGUUUGUGAGCUAAGGACUAAAAGUUUUGAAAAGAAUUUUUGAGGCUCCCAUUCACCCCCCUCUGGUCGCCAUUUCUGGUCCUUCAAUACUUUCAGAGAAAGAGGUGUAUUUGGAGCAAGUUGUCUCCCCAUGUUUGACAUAUAGAGACAACAUAACAUUGUUUUCUAAUAGAAUGUAGACUUCAAGUCAAAAUAAUUUAUGUGUAAUGAAACCAUCAAGUUACUAGAGAUAGAUUUCAAACUUCAAAAGGUUUAAGAAGUUCUUCAAUUUUCUGUUAGACUUGUGUGUAGACAUGGGUAAAUCAGAUAAUAUAAUUGAAUGUGGGCAAG